GCCCGCUCAGAACUCAAAGGAAUUGACGGGGGCCCGCACAAGCAGUGGAGUAUGUGGUUUAAUUCGACGCAACGCGAAGAACCUUACCUGGGUUUGACAUGCAGGGGAAAGCUACAGAGAUGUAGCCUCGGCUUCGGUCGCCGCUGCACAGGUGCUGCAUGGCUGUCGUCAGCUCGUGCCGUGAGGUGUUGGGUUAAGUCCCGCAACGAGCGCAACCCUCGUCCUUAGUUGCCAUGCCGCAAGGCGGAACCCUAAGGAGACUGCCGGGGACAACCCGGAGGAAGGUGGGGAUGACGUCAAGUCCUCAUGGCCCUUACAUCCAGGGCUACACACGUACUACAAUGGUCGGUACAGAAGGUUGCAAGACCGCGAGGUGGAGCUAAUCCCAAAAACCGGCCUCAGUUCAGAUUGAAGUCUGCAACUCGACUUCAUGAAGGUGGAAUUGCUAGUAAUCGCAGAUCAGCACGCUGCGGUGAAUACGUUCCCGGGCCUU
rnacentral:rRNA from 1 species